ACCACUUGGGCAGCACUGUAUACAAAGCAGUGCAACUCUCUGUUCCGUCAAAUUCUUCAGCUUUAGGAGAAUCUUCUCGACGACAGUCUUGUGUUUCACGGCCAACCCAAUCAGUCCAGCCAGCAGGACCACAGACAGCAGGCCCAGAAGCACCACCACAGCCCUGAUAGGACACCAAGCAGGGCUCACAGUGUCCGGCCGCUGACUUCUUCCUGUUCCCAGAGACUUUGAGGACUCCUCUGUCCCCACAGAGUGCUGCUGUUGAUCUCUGA